UACGAAGGGGGCUAGCGUUGCUCGGAAUUACUGGGCGUAAAGGGCUCGUAGGUGGCCAACUAAGUCAGACGUGAAAUCCCUCGGCUUAACCGGGGAACUGCGUCUGAUACUGGAUGGCUUGAGUUUGGGAGAGGGACGCGGAAUUCCAGGUGUAGCGGUGAAAUGCGUAGAUAUCUGGAGGAACACCGGUGGCGAAGGCGGCGUCCUGGACCAAUACUGACACUGAACAGCGAAAGCCAGGGGAGCAAACGGG
rnacentral:rRNA from 1 species